UACGAAGGGGGCUAGCGUUGCUCGGAAUGGCUGGGCGUAAAGGGCGCGUAGGCGGAUGGCACAGUCAGAUGUGAAAUUCCCGGGCUUAACCUGGGGGCUGCAUUUGAUACGUGUUGUCUUGAGUUCGGAAGAGGGUCGUGGAAUUCCCAGUGUAGAGGUGAAAUUCGUAGAUAUUGGGAAGAACACCGGUGGCGAAGGCGGCGACCUGGUCCGACACUGACGCUGAGGCGCGAAAGCGUGGGGAGCAAACAGG
rnacentral:rRNA from 1 species